rnacentral:rRNA from 1 species
ACGCACGCUGGCGGCGUGCUUAACCCAUGCAAGUCGAACGGAAAGGCCCCUUUGGGGGUCCUCGAGUGGCGAACGGGUGAGUAACACGUGAGUAACCUGCCCUUGACUUCGGGAUAACUUCAGGAAACUGGGGCUAAUACCGGAUAGGAAUCCUUGCUGCAUGGUGGGGGUUGGAAAGCUUCGGCGGUUUUGGAUGGACUCGCGGCUUAUCAGCUUGUUGGUGGGGUAGUGGCUUACCAAGGCUUUGACGGGUAGCCGGCCUGAGAGGGCGACCGGCCACAUUGGGACUGAGAUACGGCCCAGACUCCUACGGGAGGCAGCAGUGGGGAAUAUUGCACAAUGGGCGGAAGCCUGAUGCAGCAACGCCGCGUGCGGGAUGACGGCCUUCGGGUUGGAAACCGCUUUCAGCAGGGGCGAAGCUUGUGGUGACGGUACCUGCAGAAGAAGCACCGGCUAACUACGUG